AGCUACUUGGCGCAGGGGAAGCGCGCCGGGCUCAUAACCCGGAGGAGUGAGUCAACACCCUUUAUAUACGACAUUACAAAUUUACUAACAAGGUACCAGCGCCAGAUCGAAACUGGCAGUAGCUA